rnacentral:piRNA from 1 species
UCUGAGUCUAUGGCAGUGCCUUGU